GCUGCCGUAGCUCAGUCGGUAGAGCGCGUCCUUGGUAAGGACGAGGUCGUUGGUUCGAUUCCAAUCGGCAGCA
rfam:Rhodospirillales bacterium B29T1 genome assembly, contig: Ga0116950_104